UCCAGACUCCUACGGGAGGCAGCAGUGGGGGAUAUUGCACAAUGGGGGGAACCCUGAUGCAGCGACGCCGCGUGGGUGAAGGAGCGUUUCGGCGCGUAAAGCCCUAUCGGCAGGGAAGAAGGAGGACGGUACCUGACUAAGAAGCCCCGGCUAACUACGUGCCAGCAGCCGCGGUAAUACGUAGGGGGCAAGCGUUAUCCGGAUUUAUUGGGUGUAAAGGGGGCGCAGACGGCAGCGCAAGCCAGGAGUGAAAGCCCGGGGCCCAACCCCGGGACUGCUCUUGGAACUGCGCGGCUGGAGUGCAGGAGGGGCAGGCGGAAUUCCUGGUGUAGCGGUGAAAUGCGUAGAUAUCAGGAGGAACACCGGUGGCGAAGGCGGCCUGCUGGACUGCGACUGACGUUGAGGCCCGAAGGCGUGGGGAGCAAACAGGAUUAGAUACCCGCGUA
rnacentral:rRNA from 1 species